GACGAACGCUGGCGGCGUGCUUAACACAUGCAAGUCGAACGGAAAGGCCUGGCUUUUGUGCGGUCCUCGAGUGGCGAGCGGGUGUGAAUCACGUGAGUAACCUGCCCCUGUCUUUGGGAUAACUUCAUGAAACUGGGGCUAUUACCGGAUAUGAGCUCCUUCUGCAUGGUGGGGGUUGGAAAGUGGCGGCGGUUGGGGAUGGACUCGCGGUUUAUCAGCUUGUUGGUGAGGUAGUGACGUACCACGGCUUUGACGGGUAGCCGGCCUGAGAGGGUGACCGGCCACAUAGGGACUGGGGAACGAGCCAGAGUGAAACGGGAGGCAGCAGGGGAGAAUAGUGCGCGAUGGGCGGAAGCAGGGAGCAGGAACGUCGCGUGGGGGAUGACGGCCUGCGGGUAGGAACCCGCGUUCGCCUGUAACGAAGCGUAAGUGACGGUAAUGGGUAAAGAAGCACCGGCUAACUACGUG
rnacentral:rRNA from 1 species